UUUCACAACCUUCCAAAUGAGAAAUUGCCGUAUAGUGAGACAUGUAAAGCAAUGAGUUGAUGUACAUAGGAUUCACUAGUCUGACUAUGCACUCUAAUUUCCACAUGGAAAAUGUACCCUUUAUAGAUGGUGGCAUAGUUUAUUGAGAACUUUGAUACAGCAUCAGCUAGGAGAGACCACACAUUAAUGAGAUUUGGGUGCUGUCUUGUAAGAUGUAUAUGUAUGAGGGUUUUUUUUUUUUUCUUUCCUAGCUACAUGUGGUCUUGAGAACCAAGUAAUGUGAGGAUGUGCCUGUUAUUAUUUUUUUUAAUAAAUCAAUUGGAAAAACGUGCCUUCUUUCCCUAUGACUAGCAGCUGCUGGUUUAGAAAGGAAGGCUUUUACCUACAAAUUGCUUUCCUUGAAUUGUAAGCUGAGACUGCCACUGGGCUGUUUUGGGUUUCUGUGGCCUUUGGGUGAAGAGGUCAAAGUGGGUUUCAGUGUUGGCUUUCACAAUUGAUGGUGUCAAGGAGAUAGGGCUGCCAGUAGACUGUGGAGAAGAAGUGAGUGUGGUACUGGAGUGUUCCCUGUGAUGGUCAGAGCCCUCAGAGAUAGACUAUCUCACCAGGUAAGGAACCCAGAUCAGCUGACAUCAUAAUAAUUUGGAAUGAGGACCAGCAGAAAGGAGUCAUAAGUAACAACCAUUGCCAAGGGACUAGUGCUUUCAGAUGGUCUGGCCUGUUGGAGGUGAAGCUGAGAGAAGCCAGCAGAGGGCAGCAAAGUGCCAGGUAAUCAGGCCUGUAGAGCCACUCUAAGGUACAGGAGGUGUGGGGGCCAUCCUGGCAGGUGGGUGUCCCUCUAGGGUAGUGGUUCACAAAUUUUGUUGUAUUAGAGCCACCCAGGGAGCUUUAACACAUUCUGAUAUCUCAGGUAAGUCCAGACUGACCAAUUAAAUCAGAAUUUCUGGGGCCUGAAAUCAAGCAUUGGUAUUCUUUGAAGGACUUUAGUUGUCCUAAGGUGUAGCCAAGUGUAGCUAAGUUUCAGAAUUACCCAUUAGCUUUGGUAGAGCUAAAGAGGUAGAGCUAGAAAUUGUACUGAAAGGAAUGUUGGGGCAUAGGUGCCAGUCCAUUAGAAGGCCAAAGGGCCAAAUUUGGGAUUUGAGAAAAGAUGGGGACAGAGAUGAGUAAAAAC
rnacentral:lncRNA from 12 species